rnacentral:rRNA from 1 species
UACAGAGGAUGCAAGCGUUAUCCGGAAUGAUUGGGCGUAAAGCGUCUGUAGGUGGCUUUUUAAGUCCGCCGUCAAAUCCCAGGGCUCAACUCUGGACAGGCGGUGGAAACUACCAAGCUGGAGUACGGUAGGGGCAGAGGGAAUUUCCGGUGGAGCGGUGAAAUGCGUAGAGAUCGGGAGGAACACCAGUGGCGAAGGCGGCUACCUGGACCAGCACUGACACUGAAGCACGAAAGCGUGGGGAGCAAACAGG